GACGAACGCUGGCGGCGUGCUUAACACAUGCAAGUCGAACGGUGAAGCGCCUUCCUUUUUGGUGGGUGUGUAUGAGUGGCGAACGGGUGAGUAACACGUGAGUAACCUGCCCCCUUCUUCUGGAUAACCGCAUGAAAGUGUGGCUAAUACGGGAUAUUCUGGAUCUGUCGCAUCAUGGGUCUUGGAAAGAUAUUGUUUCUGUGGGGGAUGGGCUCGCGGACGAUCAGCUUGUUGGUGGGGUGAUGGCCUACCAAGGCGGUGAGGGGUAGCCGGCAUGAGAGGGUGGACGGGAAGAGUGGGGAGGAGAGACGGACAAGACUGAGACGGGAGGCAGCAGUGAGGAAUAUUGAAUAAUGGGAGGAGGAAUGAUGCAGAGAGGCCGCGAGAGGGAUGGAGGCAUGCGGGUUGAGAACCUAUGUCGGGAGUGAAGAAGGGCUGGCUAGUAUGUGGGUGGGUUGACGGUAGCUGAAGAAGAAGCGCCGGCUAACUACGUG
rnacentral:rRNA from 1 species